rnacentral:misc_RNA from 1 species
GAGAAAUGCUAGAAACAUAUUGUAUGCAAAACACAAUUCAUGUUCAUGGUAAACCUGGAAAUAUGACAGAAGUUAUGUCGUCUGUCAUACAAAAGUUUGGUACUGAAAGCAAAUUCAACAUCUACGAAUGCAGCCACAGACGGUCAUGCAAACGCUCGUCUCCUCCUCCAAACAUCUCAUCAACUCUCUCACCAUCUCUGUAGAAUUGAAAAGUUGGUGUGUAUCGAAGGUUCUGUGUUGUCUCUGGGCAUUCAUCAAUAUCAGCGUAUAUGAAAGAGAGUUUUGGGAACUUUUUGCUUAGCUCCCAAAAUGUAGGAAGUAUCUGAUUGCAGACGCGGCACCAAGAAACUCCAUAAUUGAUUACAGCCGGAGUUUUAGUUGUUCUGAUAGUGUGGAAAAUAUCCUCGAGAUUUUCGUCACCAGUGGCUGUCAUUAUGUUCGCCUGUUUAUUCACCGGAAGUUUUCUACUCACUGCUUUCUCGCCCCCUUCUCCCAUUUUCACUUUUUCUUUUUCCCUGAACAUUCUAGGAAGAAAAGAGAAAACUAACCAGAGUUCA